UACGAAGGGUGCUAGCGUUGCUCGGAAUUACUGGGCGUAAAGCGCACGUAGGCGGAUUGUUAAGUCGGGGGUGAAAUCCUGGAGCUCAACUCCAGAACUGCCUUCGAUACUGGCGAUCUCGAGUUCGGGAGAGGUGAGUGGAACUGCGAGUGUAGAGGUGAAAUUCGUAGAUAUUCGCAAGAACACCAGUGGCGAAGGCGGCGCACUGGCCCGAUACUGACGCUGAGGCACGAAAGCGUGGGGAGCAAACAGG
rnacentral:rRNA from 1 species